rnacentral:rRNA from 1 species
GUGGGGAAUAUUGGACAAUGGGCGCAAGCCUGAUCCAGCCAUGCCGCGUGUGUGAAGAAGGCCUUCGGGUUGUAAAGCACUUUUGUCCGGAAAGAAAAGCUUCGGGUUAAUAACCCGGAGUUAUGACGGUACCGGAAGAAUAAGCACCGGCUAACUUCGUGCCAGCAGCCGCGGUAAUACGAAGGGUGCAAGCGUUACUCGGAAUUACUGGGCGUAAAGCGUGCGUAGGUGGUUUGUUAAGUCUGAUGUGAAAGCCCUGGGCUCAACCUGGGAACUGCAUUGGAAACUGGCUGACUAGAGUGCGGUAGAGGGGUGUGGAAUUCCCGGUGUAGCAGUGAAAUGCGUAGAUAUCGGGAGGAACAUCUGUGGCGAAGGCGACACCCUGGACCAGCACUGACACUGAGGCACGAAAGCGUGGGGAGCAAACAGGAUUAGAAACCCGGGUAGUCC